CCAUCACGCCUCAAUCCUCUUCUACUCAUUUCUUAUCUUCAUUCUUGCUCUUUCUCUGUCUCUCUCUAUCUCUCUCUAUCUCUCAGAUGGUUGAGUAUUGCUUAGCCACUCUCAAUACAUCAGAAAUUUGACAAUCAUACUACUGUAAAUCUAAGCUAACAGUGAAGACGAAGGCUGGGACCAUCAUCGCUAAUGAGAAGCUUAAAAAAGGCGUUUGAAGAAAGAUUGUUCAAAUAAGUAGAUUUCGUAUAUAGUAAUGUCUACUGAAUACUGAAUAAAGAAGUAAAAUUGUAUUUACCUUUGUUUUCAUCCUAAGAUUUCCGCUUACUUUGUCAAUUUCUUCAUCUCUUGAACUGUUGAAGUAGAAUUUGAGCUGAUUAUUGCU